UCUUCUAAUCUAAUUUUGUGUUGGCCGCUCCAAUCUCUGUGUGCAUUUUCAUCUGUUUUAGCCAAAGAACAGUAAAUGCCACUGAGAUUAGAGCGUUUAUCACUAAGACGACUUUCUGGAUU
rnacentral:precursor_RNA from 14 species